CGAGAAUGCGAGACGCCCCGACGCUAGGGUUCCGUCGCCGCCGCGUCCCAUCCCUCCGAUCCAGUCAACCCUUGCCGCCCUCUCCCAUCCCCGGUCGCCAUUGUAGUCCCUCGACGCUGGUCAAUAUCCUUGACGGAGCCUUGCCUGCCGGUUCCUUGGAACACGCCACCUACCGGUGGACACCCUAAUUGUGCGCGAACCCGCCGGGGACUCACCUCGACUCACCUCGCCACCUUCGUGCCUUCCCCAGGAUCUCCACCACCGCCUCGUGCUGCUGUGCGCAAGGAUACCGCCGCCUCUCCCUGGUACCUCCAUCUCCACUUCCUUGGGGCGCUGCUCACCGGCUCAUGACCUGCUACCCUGUUCUGGCUCUGCCGGCUCCCGUGGUUCAGCAGAGCGAGGAGAUCGAGAGAGGAAGUACUCAUUUGAUUUUGCAGAUUAUGUCGGGCAUGGAAUUGAUCUGAUAUUUUUGGUUAUCCGUUGACAGCGCCCACACCUUUCCCUGAUGGAUGAGAGCGCCGACACCUUUCCUUGCUGUUUGGGCAAAGGCAUGUAUGUUCGAUGUGCGAGCAAAGCGACGAAACAAUGGUUGCUGGUUAUGUAUCUCGCGGGACACGACGGUUACAGUUUCGGGAGCAGCAGUGUUGCUUGCUAGCAUUUUUUUUUCUUAUACAUAUAUGAACUCAUGAUGCUUUAUUUGGUGUUGUUUCCCAUGGCAGUCCAUUAUGGCUUUGUUGACGAUGAUUUCUGUUGAUGUGCAUACAGCAGAGGAAUAGACUCAGCAAGUAAGGGAGCUACAUCAAUGUGGUCGGUGGAAUUAACAGGAAAAGUAAAUCCUGAAGCUCCUGGUUGUACCAAGAGGUAAUUCCCCAUUUUCCGUGCACAAUGCAUUAGUUGAUGCAGAGUAUUUGUGCGUCCAAAUAGCAACAUGAAUUUGGUUUUAGUAGUUUCUGAAUUGUAGUGUCAGAAAAUCAUGUGGCUUAUUUUGGUAGCAUUUGUCAUGGAUCGAUUUCGUGUUGGAGGCCGAGGAUUGGGUCUGCACCUCUUACAACAGUCAGUUGUCAUCGGCGGCCUGUCAGCAACACUGGUGAAGGAACGAGGGUGGCCUGAGACCGCAAACAGGGGCUCUUUAAUUGGGCAAGCCACCAUCGCUCAAUCGUCCCCGGAGAUCGUUUGGUGACGUCCAGUGCAUAUCACAUGCCGUAGUGGAGGCGCAGACUCCCCUGCCCCAUCUUUGGCACCGCCACCUACCAAUGCGCAGAAUAAGCCUGACUGGCACGGCCUACAUCUUGAUUGUAACUCUCAUCUUCUAUCUCUUCUUCAUGUGGUCACAUUGAUUUUUCCUUUUGAGAAAGGGUUGAAAGAAGAUUCUUUGCUUCAGACAGCUGAAUGUCCAGUAAUAUCAUCAACCUUCAGCGAGCAGCGGCUCCGUACUCCAUCACCUCAAACGGCUUAGGAUAGAUUGUUGUUUCAUUCCACUUGCUUUCUGAUCCAAGUUUCAGCUGGUCCCGACCCAGCAUCUAUCUUCACUUUCAGUUAAGAAACUGUAGACUAUGAAACUGAGGAAGACCCAAGGCUUUUGAAGGCAGGUGUUUUUACUAAAAAGUUUGAUUCUAAAAAUAUGCCCAGCAAUAUACAAGUUGUUUUUUUUGCUAGCUAAUGGAUCAUUUAUAAAGAUCUUGAGAGGGGAGUUGGGCUGUGCCUUGAUAGAGCUAGACAAACAGAUAAAGAUUAUUUGGAAGCCUCUUUGCAAGCAUAAAGUUAAUCUGUAAUAGUCAAGUUGUUAAUAUAGGUUGGCAAGUACGGUGUUUAUAUUUCUGAAAAUAUAUCACCAUUGUAGAUGCUGAUGAAAACUAUAUUCUCUGCCAGCCACAGAUUUAGAUAUGUUAAUAUGGGCAAAUGAAAGUCAAAAUAUUUUAUCUUAGGGAAAUAUUCUGAAAUCAGUGAAGUUAUAUAGUAUCUACUGGACUGAUUGCGACACUGCUCAUAUUGUAUUGUAAAGUGAAUCUGUAAUACAGUAAUAGUCAACUUGUUAAGUAAUAGUCACUUGUUAAUAUAGGUUGGCAAGUACAGUGUUUAUGUUUCUGAAAAUAUAUCACCAUUGUAGAUUCUAAUGAAAAAUAUAUUCUCUGCCAACCACAGAUUUGAUGUGUUAAUUAGGGAAAUAUUGUGAAAUCAGUGAAGUUAUAUACUCCCUCCGUCCGGAAAUACUUGUCCUAGAAAUGGUGUUAGACUUAUUUUAGUUAUAGAUACAUGCAUUUUAUCCAUGUCUAAGACAAGUAUUUCCGGACGGAGGGAGUAGUAUUUACUCAGACUGAUUGCAACACUGCUCAUAUUGUUUGGUAUUGUACUUUACUAUCUGAAAUACUUCUUUUUAAUCAUGAGCCAAAGUGAUGAUGUGUUGGAGGCACUCGCCCGGUCCUUCUCUUGUUCCUGGUUCCUCUCUCGGCGAAUGCACGAAGUUUGCGAAGGAAACAAACAUGAGUAACCUGGUGAUCUUCUUCUGACUUUUUUCUCCCCUCCUGACCGCUCUCUCAUUACUUCUAUUCUUCUCAUUCAUCUCCUGUUCUAACACCAUAUUGAUCAAUCAACCCGCUUCCUCUUUUUUCUUCCUCUUCAUCAGAUUGUUGUAUUCGAAACAUGCAUGACAUAGAGCAUCACGGCCAAACUAUUACAUGUGAUGGAUAUCAUAAUCAUUUUGCCUGGCCCUAUUUUCCAUAAAUUUUUCCUCAAAGGAUCUAUUCUCCCAUAUUACAAAGCUACAAAUAUUACUGUCAUAGGGAUAUGCAUGAUGAUAUUGCACAUUUAUAGCUUAUAUAUACAACAACCUGACUGUGGAAGGGAUAUUAAUAUGUCUAUAAACUGAUUGACCUAUUAAUUAAGAAUAUUGUGUCUUCAUACUAAUUUGACUGCAUGAUUUAGUUCCAGCAAUAUUUGUUUUCAUGCUAACAACAGAACUGAAGGUAUUAAAAUGGAACAUGUGCCCAUUACAAUGAUGCUGAGUGCAGACGAUGAACCAUGGCCUUUUGCUGCUAAGUGGCACCAUCACGGAGCAUGAUGAGGUGUUGCAGUGAAGCUACAGAGCACGUUACACCGGUGAGCUCCCAAGUUCACAUAGUGGAUUCUUUCUGGAGCUAUACAAGGCAGCCAUGUGACAACAGUCAACAGGAGUGAAAUAAAGUGAUGGAGCCAAAGCAAGAGUGGAGGGUAGUCAUGUGGCGAUGAUACACAAGGUGAAAGUUCUGCAUAAAGACUAACAGAGACAUGGGAAAAUCACAAGAAUGUUCCAUUCAACACAAACACGUACACGUUACAAAAUUGUUGUUUUGCACCGUAAUUUGGUUGAGUUUAGUUCUGGAGAAUGAGUAUGUUCGUUCGGUAGUUAUCUUUUAGCAGUAUGUAGAAUAUGAAAGGAUUUGCUGGAAAUUGGGAUAAAAAAUAUGUGUGUGAACUAAAUUUUUUGUUUGAGCUCAUACUAAACGAGAAAAUGCUUCAAAUUUAUGAGGUUGCCUUGGCAAGCU